UACGUAGGGUGCAAGCGUUGUCCGGAAUUAUUGGGCGUAAAGACGCUCGUAGGCGGUUUGUCGCGUCUGCUGUGAAAACUCGGGGCUUAACCCCGGGCCUGCAGUGGGUACGGGCAGACUAGAGUGCGGUAGGGGAGACUGGAAUCCUGGUGUAGCGGUGAAAUGCGCAGAUAUCAGGAGGAACACCGGUGGCGAAGGCGGGUCUCUGGACAGUUCCUGACACUGAGGCACGAAGGCCAGGGGAGGCAAACGGG
rnacentral:rRNA from 1 species